GGCCGGGAGGAGCUUCCACAUGGGCCCUGCUGCCGGCCGACGCGACCGGCGCCAGCCCGCCUGCCAGCCGCCCGAGCUGCGGGGCGAGCGCUCCCGGGCCGCGCGAGCCUCUGUGCUGCCGGCGGGAUGCAGCGGGCGUGCGGCCAGGGCGCGGGGCCGCCACCUGCUGGGGAGCCAGGAACAGCGCUGUCUACAAGUUCACCAGAGCUGCUAUUUUACUACUUGGGGAAUGGGAAGUGAAAAUUGGACCCUGGAGGGUUUCUACACGCUUUCAUCACUUCUCUUUUAGAGAAUAUUAAAACAUCCAGUGUUAACUGGAGUAAAACUAUUACUAAGUACCAUCAGCAAGGAAAGUCUUGAGUUUGUUAGCAUUGUGACCUCCUGGAAGGAGAGAUGUUGAGGGUGUUGAGAACAGUGCUUUUCCAUGUGUCUGGUCUCUGAUCCAAGUUAUACGCACAAACAGAAGCUAUGAGCUUUCAGGG